UUCGUCAGCUGGAUCUGGACAGGAGCACGAAACGCAUCUGAGGCAGAUAUGUGUAGAUUUUAAUUUUUUAAUUUGAUCAUAUGUUUGUUUAUCGUGUUUUUUAAUUAUGUUUCAGAGUUUCGUCCCUCGCCGCAGUGAAGUCAGAGGGAAUCGGACAGGAGUCGAAACGCUAUUUUGACAGAUCGGACAACCCUUGCACGAGCUAGCAUGAGCCCCCGAUCAGUUUGCGCAUGUAGCCGGACUUGAUCUCGGUUUGGAGCAGACUCUAGUUUCAUGGUUUCCAGUGCACUUCAGACACCUAGGGCCUUUUAGGCAGUAGAUUCUGGAGUGGCGAAAACCCUGACAAUUGAAGCAUUGGACAGGCUCCUGGGUCCUGUGCAUCCUUUCCACUUUGACGGUUUGAUUGUCCAGAACUUUUGAAGUGCUCCUGUUG